AACGAACGCUGGCGGCAUGCCUAACACAUGCAAGUCGAACGAGACCUACGGGUCUAGUGGCGCACGGGUGCGUAACGCGUGGGAACCUGCCCUUAGGUUCGGAAUAACUCCCCGAAAGGGGUGCUAAUACCGGAUAAUGUCUUCGGACCAAAGAUUUAUCGCCUUUGGAUGGGCCCGCGUUGGAUUAGCUAGUUGGUAGGGUAAAAGCCUACCAAGGCGACGAUCCAUAGCUGGUCUGAGAGGAUGAUCAACCACACUGGGACUGAGACACGGCCCAGACUCCUACGGGAGGCAGCAGUGGGGAAUAUUGGACAAUGGGCGAAAGCCUGAUCCAGCAAUGCCGCGUGAGUGAUGAAGGCCUUAGGGUUGUAAAGCUCUUUUACCCGGGAUGAUAAUGACAGUACCGGGAGAAUAAGCUCCGGCUAACUCCGUG
rnacentral:rRNA from 1 species